rnacentral:lncRNA from 1 species
AAGAGAACCUUUACCCAGCCCUUAUUCCCACAGAAUGGGAAAAGGCCCAGAUGAAGCUUUGGUUGUCUUCAUAUGUUUUGGUUGUGGAGUUCCAUCUUCUGAAGGGUCUUUUUGAAGUUGCCCUAUCAAUUUUGCCUUGCUCCUGUCUCUUCAGGAGCACCCUGGGGAGUGGAGUCUUGUCCUCCCUGUCCAGUUGCACUCUAAGCAGCUUCCGUAAGCUCAGCCACCUGUGA